CAAUCUUUUAAUUCAGAUGAAUUAGUCACAUAUCUCCAGUUCGAGUUGUAAUUUGGGUUGUAUAAACAACGGUUCAAAAUGUCUUAGCUGCGGAAUAUUUUGUUAGGAAAGCAUUUAGAUAAACAGAUUAAAAAAAUAUAAGAGCACUACUUUAUGCAUUUCUCCCGACUCUAUAUAAACCCAUAGUGGUGAGCUUUCAUGUUGAACCACUUGAUCAUACUAAGCAAGUAGAAAGAGAAGAAAAAAAAUGGCCACUCUUGUUUCUCUCCUCUGCAUCUAUUUCCUUCUCUUUUCUUCAACUGGUUUGAAGGCGGUGGUGGAGGCUGAGGUAUGUCAAAGGUACAGCGGUUCCUGGUCGGGAAUCUGCCUUUCGUCGAGCAACUGUAAUACCCAAUGCAUUGAAAGGGAACACGCUAAAUAUGGAGCUUGUCACUCUGAUGACAACGGUUUAGCUUGCUUCUGUUAUUUCGACUGCUAAAGAAUACAAGCGCUCUUGUGUUCCGAAUCUAUGUUGUUUCUUUCUAAAACUCAAUAUAUAUGCAUUUUGUCGUUACUUCCCUUGGCAUCGUUUGUGUUGUGUUUUUUCUUUCUUCCAAAAUAAUACAUAUUAUCAUGUGUAACAAUUUGCUUCUGCUUUACGUUGCAUGCGUGAUAUGUACUUAUAUGUAAUAAAACUUAUCAAUGAGAGUUUACUAUCAUGUGACU